ACGACCAGGCUUCCCAGUGCCAGGACUGGGCAAUAAGACUCACCUGUCCAGGAGCCUUGGGACCCUCCAGCCAGAAGCCAUGCUGCUGUGGCUGACCCUCGCCCUCCUGUGGAGCACCACCUGCUGGGCAGAGCGUAAGUCCGGCUGGGUCAGCCCCCUCCAGCCCAUCCAUCUGGUGGCCACCCUCCCCUCUCUGCAUCCCAGAGACCCAGGGUCUGGGCCCUGCCCUGGCCACAUACUAACUCUUAUCUCAGAACUGUCCCAUCUGGUGGAGGGGCUGCGUCCAGAGUGAGGCAGAGAUAGCCUGCAUGUGACCAUGUGGUUUAUUUUCUCUCCCCACCUGCUUCUUUCAUCAUCUUGAGAUUUAUGGGCUCGGAGGAGGCCGGUAUUUCAGUACCACUCCAGACUAUGACAACGACGUCACUGGGAUUCGGGUGUCUGUAGGGCCUGUCUUUGGCCUGAUUAAGAGCAUCCAGCUGAGAUAUGGAUCCUCCUGGAGUAAAAGCCUUGGCGCCCAAGGUGGGAAGAUCCAGGAAUUCCUGCUGCAGCCGGGCGAACACAUUAUAGCCGUCCACGGCUCGUACAGGGGUUACCUCCGGUACCUGGUCGUAUACACUGACCAAGGGCGCUCGGCUGCAUUUGGGCGAGAAGAGGGCAACAGCUUCUCUGCCUCCCCAGACCAACCGUGGAAGGUGCUCACAGGAAUCUUUGGCCACCAUAAGCUCCUCGGCAUCACGAGCAUCGGCUUUCGGUGGGCUAGUAUUCAGUCCUUUGGUUGACCAUUGCACAAACAAGUGCAAACCCACAGGCUGAGAAAUGAGUGCUCCUGGGUCCCCAGGGAUGGGGCCCGGCUGAGGCCCUCUGGCUGGUGGCGGGCUGGUGGCACUGAGGUAUCCUUUCUCAACCCUGAAUAAUAAUCCACCAAUAAAUGAAUCUUCUGCAAGAACAGUGUGU